AUUGAACGCUGGCGGCAGGCCUAACACAUGCAAGUCGAGCGGAUGAAGGGAGCUUGCUCCUGGAUUCAGCGGCGGACGGGUGAGUAAUGCCUAGGAAUCUGCCUGGUAGUGGGGGAUAACGUCCGGAAACGGGCGCUAAUACCGCAUACGUCCUGAGGGAGAAAGUGGGGGAUCUUCGGACCUCACGCUAUCAGAUGAGCCUAGGUCGGAUUAGCUAGUUGGUGGGGUAAAGGCCUACCAAGGCGACGAUCCGUAACUGGUCAGAGAGGAUGAUCAGUCACACUGGAACUGAGACACGGUCCAGACUCCUACGGGAGGCAGCAGUGGGGAAUAUUGGACAAUGGGCGAAAGCCUGAUCCAGCCAUGCCGCGUGUGUGAAGAAGGUCUUCGGAUUGUAAAGCACUUUAAGUUGGGAGGAAGGGCAGUAAGUUAAUACCUUGCUGUUUUGACGUUACCAGCAGAAUAAGCACCGGCUAACUUCGUG
rnacentral:rRNA from 1 species